rnacentral:rRNA from 1 species
CUAGCCCUAAACGAUGUAGACUAGACGUCGGCGGUGUAAUAGCUGUCGGUGUCCAAGCUAACGCGAUAAGUCUACCGCCUGGGGACUACGGCCGCAAGGUUAAAACUCAAAGGAAUUGACGGGUCCCCGCACAAGCAGCGGAGCGUGUGGUUUAAUUCGUUGCUACACGAAGAACCUUACCUGGGUUUGACAUAACAGUGGUAGGGAAGAGAAAUCGGACCGCCCCUUCGGGGAGCUGUUACAGGUGU